CACGGCUCAGUAAAACGUGGACAACCUGCCCUCGGGUGGGGGAUAACCCCGGGAAACUGGGGCUAAUACCCCAUAGGUGAUGGGUGCUGGAAUGCCCCAUCACCCAAAGCUCCGGCGCCCGAGGAUGGGUCUACGGCGGAUUAGGCUGUUGGCGGGGUAACGGCCCGCCAAGCCGAAGAUCCGUACGGGCCAUGAGAGUGGGAGCCCGGAGAUGGACCCUGAGACACGGGUCCAGGCCCUACGGGGCGCAGCAGGCGCGAAACCUCCGCAAUGCGCGCAAGUGCGACGGGGGAACCCCAAGUGCCACUCUUAACGGGGUGGCUUUUCAGAAGUGUAAAAAGCUUCUGGAAUAAGGGCUGGGCAAGACCGGUGCCAGCCGCCGCGGUAACACCGGCAGCUCAAGUGGUAGCCGCUUUUAUUGGGCCUAAAGCGUCCGUAGCCGGUCUGAUAAGUCUCUGGUGAAAUCCCACAGCUUAACUGUGGGAAUUGCUGGAGAUACUAUCAUGACUCGAGGUCGGGAGAGGCUGGAGGUACUCCCAGGGUAGGGGUGAAAUCCUGUAAUCCUGGGAGGACCACCUGUGGCGAAGGCGUCCAGCUGGA
rnacentral:rRNA from 1 species